UAUAUAUAUAUGUGUGUGUGUGUGUAUAUACAUCUUUUCGAUGGCCCGAUAACUGAAGGGAUGGUGGCAUGGGUUUCCGCCUCGAGAUCCGAAACUCGGACUUUUAUUAUGGCUACCGAAUAAUUGUCACAUAUUAUAUUUACAGAUAAUUUCCUCUAUUUACAUA